UACGUAGGGUGCAAGCGUUGUCCGGAAUUACUGGGCGUAAAGAGCUCGUAGGCGGUUUGUCGCGUCGUCUGUGAAAUCCCGCAGCUCAACUGCGGGCUUGCAGGCGAUACGGGCAGACUUGAGUACUGCAGGGGAGACUGGAAUUCCUGGUGUAGCGGUGAAAUGCGCAGAUAUCUGGAGGAACACCGGUGGCGAAGGCGGCAUCCUGGACCAACACUGACGCUGAGUGAGCGAAAGCCAGGGGAGCAAACGGG
rnacentral:rRNA from 1 species